CCUUCACCACCACCUACGAUUUUCGAGAUAUUCAGACUUGCCCAAGAAUUACUGAAUUAACUGAAUGACAAUAACCUAGUUCUUACAAGUUGAAUAUGAUGAGUCAUUUGAUGAGUUAAAUGGCAGGACUUUGAAACACUUUUUGGACCUGAAUUGAAGAAUUUCACUAUUCUCAUCACCAACACUACAAAUAUGUUCCUGAAAAUGGGAUUGAGUGGCAGACUCCAUGUUCCAGGAAAGACCACAAUAUCUUUGUGUUAAUUUGGACCAGUCUUCUGUUGAGCG